rnacentral:rRNA from 1 species
GACGAACGCUGGCGGCGUGCUUAACACAUGCAAGUCGUACGGUAAGGCCCUUUCGGGGGUCCACGAGUGGCGAACGGGUGAGUAACACGUGAGUAACCUGCCCACAACUUUGGGAUAACGCUAGGAAACUGGUGCUAAUACUGGAUAUGUGCUCCUGCUGCAUGGUGGGGGUUGGAAAGCUCCGGCGGUUGUGGAUGGACUCGCGGCCUAUCAGCUUGUUGGUGGGGUAGUGGCCUACCAAGGCGGCGACGGGUAGCCGGCCUGAGAGGGUGACCGGCCACAUUGGGACUGAGAUACGGCCCAGACUCCUACGGGAGGCAGCAGUGGGGAACAUUGCACAAUGGGCGCAAGCCUGAUGCAGCAACGCCGCGUGCGGGAGGACGGCCUUCGGGUUGUAAACCGCUUUCAGCAGGGACGAAGCUUUUUGUGACGGUACCUGCAGAAGAAGCACCGGCUAACUACGUG